CCUUCCCCUAGAGGCGUUGCAGGCUUGGCUCCUGUGUCACGUGUGCAUCAGUAGAUGGCAGAGAGGAGGGAGGCUGUGACUAUGCUCAGUGUUUCUGACCUGUCAACACUGAACGAUUGAUUAACAUU